rnacentral:rRNA from 1 species
UAGCGAAGGGGGCUAGCGUUGCUCGGAAUCACUGGGCGUAAAGGGUGCGUAGGCGGGUCUUUAAGUCAGGGGUGAAAUCCUGGAGCUCAACUCCAGAACUGCCUUUGAUACUGAAGAUCUUGAGUUCGGGAGAGGUGAGUGGAACUGCGAGUGUAGAGGUGAAAUUCGUAGAUAUUCGCAAGGACACCAGUGGCGAAGGCGGCUCACUGGCCCGGUACUGACGCUGAGGUGCGAAAGCGUGGGGGAGCAAACAGG